GGCAGAUGAUGGCUUUUUCUCACGAUGGUCUGCGGAUGCCACGGUGCCGAUACUGCCAAUGGCUCAGCUGAUGCCAGGAG
ensembl:snoRNA